rnacentral:rRNA from 1 species
GUCUUUUUGAAUUAAUUUUAAGGUKUAAUCUGCCCAAUGUGUAUUGAAUGGCCGCGGUAUAUUGACUGUGCAAAGGUAGCAUAAUCAUUAGUUUAUUAAUUGUAAACUUGUAUGAAUGAUUGGAUGAGGUUAAAGCUUUUUUGUUUGUAAGUUUUGAAUUUUAUUUUUCAUUUAAAAAGAUGAAUUGUGUUUGUUAGACGAGAAGACCCUAUAGAGUUUUAUAUAAGAUUUGUCAGUAGAGGAAUGUAUAAGUAAAUAUUUGGUUGGGGUAAUCGAUUUAUUUAAUUAAUUUUGUUAGUUUAAACUUGGUAUGAGGGUAAAUGAGCUAUAAAUAAGUUGUAGAUUAAAUUACCUUAGGGAUAACAGGGUAAUACACAUUUGGAGUUCGCAUCUAAAUUUGUGUUUGCUACCUCGAUGUUGGAUUAAGAUUA